rnacentral:rRNA from 1 species
UGCCAGCCGCCGCGGUAAUACGGAGGGUGCAAGCGUUGUUCGGAAUUAUUGGGCGUAGAGCGCGUGUAGGCGGUUCGUUAAGUCUGAUGUGAAAGCCCGGGGCUCAACCCCGGAAGUGCAUUGGAAACUGGCGAACUUGAGUACGGGAGAGGAAAGUGGAAUUCCGAGUGUAGGGGUGAAAUCCGUAGAUAUUCUGAGGAAUACCGGUGGCGAAGGCGGCCUCCUGGAUUGAUACUGACACUGAGGUGCGAAAGCGUGGGGAGCAAACAGGAUUAGAUA